CACGUAGGGGGCGAGCGUUGUCCGGAUUUAUUGGGCGUAAAGAGCUCGUAGGUGGCUCGGUAAGUCGGGUGUGAAAUUUCGAGGCUCAACCUCGAGACGCCACCCGAUACUGCUGUGGCUAGAGUCCGGUAGGGGAGCGUGGAAUUCCUGGUGUAGCGGUGAAAUGCGCAGAUAUCAGGAGGAACACCAGCGGCGAAGGCGGCGCUCUGGGCCGGUACUGACACUGAGGAGCGAAAGCGUGGGGGAUCAAACAGG
rnacentral:rRNA from 1 species